UAAUGGAUAUAUGCAUAUAUGAAAUGUUACAAAUAAACACUUAAAUGCAUCAAAAACAAUAUACAUACGAAAUAAUCAUAUAUGUUACCUUAAAAAAACUCAAUCGUUGACGCAAAGUACAUCAUAUGAUGAAGUGAAUUUAUAAUCUUUAAUUCAGAAAAAAAAACAGGAUGUAGAUUGUGCAUGUGCACUUCUUGAAAUACUUACUAUCAGGGCCACUUACAUUUUUAUCACCUAUUUGAUGUCAACAGCUUCCUCUUGUUAAGAUUCAGAAUGCCCAUCAGUUUGAUUCUCUUCCUCCACAAAAUCGCCAAUUCAUCAUUUGGAAUCAACGAAGUAUAUUACUCUUGAUAAUUUUACAAAGAGCGCCUCUCUCAUGUAUCAACUCAUGCACAUAUUCUAUCUUUUUCCACCAUGCUGGAAAUAAAUAAAUAAUGGCAUCAAAGGCUGAUCGGUGCCAGCUAUGCACGAUGUAUGCAAAGGAGAAAUUACUUAAUUUAGUACUAAACCUAUAGGGGAAUAUAAUAUAAUAUAUCUUUGGAUGGAUUGGAUAGUUCAGCGAUGAGCCUAUGCCACGACGUGAACUCGCGUCUGGCUCUAGCACUAGCGCUAGUCGAAUCGGCGAUGUCUGUGUGCGUGUCAUCGCGACAGCGCCUGAAGGCGGGAAAAAGCGGCGGCGUAUACUGAGUAUUGACUGCAUCUCGCGAUCGGGGCACCCGGGAACCGAGAUCGCAUCGGCGAGACGGCGAACUCGCGAUCGAUUAGGAAGGAAAUUAUAAGAGAGAAGGAGCGUAAUGGCGUGCUCAUUAUCUCGGAAAAGACGGCGUAUGAUCUCGGGAUUGCUAGGUGAAGGAAUAGGAAUAAUCGCCAUGUUCGCCUGCAUCCACGCCUGAUUACCUCGCUUAAGCCACGGCCCAUAUAGAGUUUAGGAGCUACGUAAACACAUCUGAGGAGGGGCCCCUGGAUUGUGGGGGCCCGGGGCGGCCGCCCCCCCGCCCCCCUCAGGGCCGGGCCUGCCGGCGGUCGAGCUCGAACUCCAC
rnacentral:lncRNA from 1 species